UUAAUUAACUGUAGGCAAGACUUGGGACCUGGCAGCUAUCUGACUUCUCCCUCCACUGAAAUUAGUGAGACUGCCCAAGUUCAGAGAGCUUCAGAAGAGGAGUUCAGGCUCAGAACUGAAUUUGUCAAUUAUUCACAGGUAUGUCCUGAGAGCUACUGAGCUCCUCAGCACAGAUAUUCAGCAAUUUGUAAAAUGAAGCUCCU
rnacentral:lncRNA from 1 species